GGGAUGAAACUCUCCUUUCUUCUGUUUUUUCUAAUGGCUAUGUUGGUGAUGAUAGUUCCUUUAACAAAUCAGAAAAUGAGUAUGCUGUGGGGAAUCUCAGUGAUUCAGAAAUCAUGUCACCGACCUCUAGGCACUCGUGGGAUUAUAUCAACAGGUUUGGCAGUCCCUAUUCUUGUUCCUCCUUCAGCCGUGCAUCAUGUUCUCCAGAGUCUUCUGUUUGCAGAGAAGCAAAAAAGAGACUUUCUGAAAGAUGGGCCAUGAUGACAUCAAAUGGGAGUUUUCAGGAACCAAAAAAUACUUGGAGAAGCUCUAGCACAUUGGGUGAGAUGCUUGCUCUUUCAGAUACAAAGAAAUCAGUGAGAUCUGAGGAAGAGGCUGCUCAAAAGAAACAAAAACCAAGGGGAUCGAUUUCUUGCUUAACUAGUAAUUUGAGCAAGGAAGAAGGCAUGGCUGAUUCUCCUAAAAGUCUCCUGAGGUCCAGAUCUUUGCCUGUGUGUUCUACAGUAUAUGG
rnacentral:misc_RNA from 1 species